rnacentral:rRNA from 1 species
UACGUAGGGGGCUAGCGUUGUCCGGAUUUAUUGGGCGUAAAGAGCGUGUAGGCGGCCUGGUAGGUCUGCUGUGAAAACUCGAGGCUCAACCUCGAGAUGUCGGCGGAAAUCAUCUGGCUAGAGUCCGGAAGAGGAGAGUGGAAUUCCUGGUGUAGCGGUGAAAUGCGUAGAUAUCGUGAGGAACACCAGAGGCGAAGGCGGCUACCUGGACAAUUGCUGACGCUCAGGCACGAAAGCGUGGGGAGCAAAAGGG